GAUGAAGAACGCAGUGAAAUGCGAUAACUAGUGUGAAUUGCAGAAUUCCGUGAAUCAUCGAGUCUGUGAACGCACAUUGCGCCCCCUGGUAUUCCGGGGGGCAUGCCUGUCCGAGCGUCAUUGCUGCCCAUCAAGCACGGCUUGUGUGUUGGGUCGUCGUCCCCUCUCCGGGGGGGACGGGCCCCAAAGGCAGCGGCGGCACCGCGUCCGAUCCUCGAGCGUAUGGGGCUUUGUCACCCGCUCUGUAGGCCCGGCCGGCGCUUGCCGAUCAACCCAAAUUUUUAUCCAGGUUGACCUCGGAUCAGGUAGGGAUACCCGCUGAACUUAAGCAUAUCAAUAAGCGGAGGA
rnacentral:misc_RNA from 1 species